GACGAACGCUGGCGGCACGCCUAACACAUGCGAGUCGAACGGACUUACAAGAGCUUGCUUUUUUAAGUUAGUGGCGGACGGGUGAGUAACACGUGAGCAACCUGCCCCUGAGAGGGGGAUAGCUUCUGGAAACGGAUGGUAAUACCCCAUAAAAUAUAAAUAUCGCAUGAUAGAUAUAUCAAAGAAAUUCGCUCAGAGAUGGGCUCGCGUCUGAUUAGAUAGUUGGUGAGGUAACGGCUCACCAAGUCGACGAUCAGUAGCCGGACUGAGAGGUUGAACGGCCACAUUGGGACUGAGCCACGGCCCAGACUCCUACGGGAGGCAGCAGUGGGGAAUAUUGCACAAUGGAGGGAACUCUGAUGCAGCGAUGCCGCGUGGAGGAAGAAGGUUUUCGGAUUGUAAACUCCUUUUAUCAGGGACGAUAAUGACGGUACCUGAAGAAAAAGCUCCGGCUAACUACGUG
rnacentral:rRNA from 1 species